GGGUUGUGAGGUUAAGCGACUAAGCGUACACGGUGGAUGCCCUGGCAGUCAGAGGCGAUGAAGGACGUGCUAAUCUGCGAUAAGCGUCGGUAAGGUGAUAUGAACCGUUAUAACCGGCGAUUUCCGAAUGGGGAAACCCAGUGUGUUUCGACACACUAUCAUUAACUGAAUCCAUAGGUUAAUGAGGCGAACCGGGGGAACUGAAACAUCUAAGUACCCCGAGGAAAAGAAAUCAACCGAGAUUCCCCCAGUAGCGGCGAGCGAACGGGGAGCAGCCCAGAGCCUGAAUCAGUGUGUGUGUUAGUGGAAGCGUCUGGAAAGGCGCGCGAUACAGGGUGACAGCCCCGUACACAAAAAUGCACAUGCUGUGAGCUCGAUGAGUAGGGCGGGACACGUGGUAUCCUGUCUGAAUAUGGGGGGACCAUCCUCCAAGGCUAAAUACUCCUGACUGACCGAUAGUGAACCAGUACCGUGAGGGAAAGGCGAAAAGAACCCCGGCGAGGGGAGUGAAAAAGAACCUGAAACCGUGUACGUACAAGCAGUGGGAGCACGCUUAGGCGUGUGACUGCGUACCUUUUGUAUAAUGGGUCAGCGACUUAUAUUCUGUAGCAAGGUUAACCGAAUAGGGGAGCCGAAGGGAAACCGAGUCUUAACUGGGCGUUAAGUUGCAGGGUAUAGACCCGAAACCCGGUGAUCUAGCCAUGGGCAGGUUGAAGGUUGGGUAACACUAACUGGAGGACCGAACCGACUAAUGUUGAAAAAUUAGCGGAUGACUUGUGGCUGGGGGUGAAAGGCCAAUCAAACCGGGAGAUAGCUGGUUCUCCCCGAAAGCUAUUUAGGUAGCGCCUCGUGAAUUCAUCUCCGGGGGUAGAGCACUGUUUCGGCAAGGGGGUCAUCCCGACUUACCAACCCGAUGCAAACUGCGAAUACCGGAGAAUGUUAUCACGGGAGACACACGGCGGGUGCUAACGUCCGUCGUGAAGAGGGAAACAACCCAGACCGCCAGCUAAGGUCCCAAAGUCAUGGUUAAGUGGGAAACGAUGUGGGAAGGCCCAGACAGCCAGGAUGUUGGCUUAGAAGCAGCCAUCAUUUAAAGAAAGCGUAAUAGCUCACUGGUCGAGUCGGCCUGCGCGGAAGAUGUAACGGGGCUAAACCAUGCACCGAAGCUGCGGCAGCGACGCUUAUGCGUUGUUGGGUAGGGGAGCGUUCUGUAAGCCUGUGAAGGUGUGCUGUGAGGCAUGCUGGAGGUAUCAGAAGUGCGAAUGCUGACAUAAGUAACGAUAAAGCGGGUGAAAAGCCCGCUCGCCGGAAGACCAAGGGUUCCUGUCCAACGUUAAUCGGGGCAGGGUGAGUCGACCCCUAAGGCGAGGCCGAAAGGCGUAGUCGAUGGGAAACAGGUUAAUAUUCCUGUACUUGGUGUUACUGCGAAGGGGGGACGGAGAAGGCUAUGUUGGCCGGGCGACGGUUGUCCCGGUUUAAGCGUGUAGGCUGGUUUUCCAGGCAAAUCCGGAAAAUCAAGGCUGAGGCGUGAUGACGAGGCACUACGGUGCUGAAGCAACAAAUGCCCUGCUUCCAGGAAAAGCCUCUAAGCAUCAGGUAACAUCAAAUCGUACCCCAAACCGACACAGGUGGUCAGGUAGAGAAUACCAAGGCGCUUGAGAGAACUCGGGUGAAGGAACUAGGCAAAAUGGUGCCGUAACUUCGGGAGAAGGCACGCUGAUAUGUAGGUGAAGUCCCUUGCGGAUGGAGCUGAAAUCAGUCGAAGAUACCAGCUGGCUGCAACUGUUUAUUAAAAACACAGCACUGUGCAAACACGAAAGUGGACGUAUACGGUGUGACGCCUGCCCGGUGCCGGAAGGUUAAUUGAUGGGGUCAGCGCAAGCGAAGCUCUUGAUCGAAGCCCCGGUAAACGGCGGCCGUAACUAUAACGGUCCUAAGGUAGCGAAAUUCCUUGUCGGGUAAGUUCCGACCUGCACGAAUGGCGUAAUGAUGGCCAGGCUGUCUCCACCCGAGACUCAGUGAAAUUGAACUCGCUGUGAAGAUGCAGUGUACCCGCGGCAAGACGGAAAGACCCCGUGAACCUUUACUAUAGCUUGACACUGAACAUUGAGCCUUGAUGUGUAGGAUAGGUGGGAGGCUUUGAAGUGUGGACGCCAGUCUGCAUGGAGCCGACCUUGAAAUACCACCCUUUAAUGUUUGAUGUUCUAACGUUGACCCGUAAUCCGGGUUGCGGACAGUGUCUGGUGGGUAGUUUGACUGGGGCGGUCUCCUCCUAAAGAGUAACGGAGGAGCACGAAGGUUGGCUAAUCCUGGUCGGACAUCAGGAGGUUAGUGCAAUGGCAUAAGCCAGCUUGACUGCGAGCGUGACGGCGCGAGCAGGUGCGAAAGCAGGUCAUAGUGAUCCGGUGGUUCUGAAUGGAAGGGCCAUCGCUCAACGGAUAAAAGGUACUCCGGGGAUAACAGGCUGAUACCGCCCAAGAGUUCAUAUCGACGGCGGUGUUUGGCACCUCGAUGUCGGCUCAUCACAUCCUGGGGCUGAAGUAGGUCCCAAGGGUAUGGCUGUUCGCCAUUUAAAGUGGUACGCGAGCUGGGUUUAGAACGUCGUGAGACAGUUCGGUCCCUAUCUGCCGUGGGCGCUGGAGAACUGAGGGGGCUGCUCCUAGUACGAGAGGACCGGAGUGGACGCAUCACUGGUGUUCGGGUUGUCAUGCCAAUGGCACUGCCCGGUAGCUAAAUGCGGAAGAGAUAAGUGCUGAAAGCAUCUAAGCACGAAACUUGCCCCGAGAUGAGUUCUCCCUGACCCUUUAAGGGUCCUGAAGGAACGUUGAAGACGACGACGUUGAUAGGCCGGGUGUGUAAGCGCAGCGAUGCGUUGAGCUAACCGGUACUAAUGAACCGUGAGGCUUAACCUUACAACGCCGAAGGUGUUU
rnacentral:rRNA from 1 species